GCGAAAAAAUGCAGCGUGCGACGGCAACAGCCGCCAGCUCCAGAUGGAAGUGUAGCAAGUGUAGCAGCAACCUAAAUGCGGGCCUGCGGGGUGGGCUGGCAGCUCACAGUUUCGUAUUGACAAGUGCGCCCGGAGGGAGCCAGAGGUGUGCAGCUAAAAGCGGGCACAAAAACGAGGCCGGUGGAUUAUUUAUGCUAGAAAUUGGAACAGCUGCUGCCGUUGGGCUUGAGAGGGCAGCCUCUUCAUCUGCAGCUGGCUGAGCUGUUGACAGCACUGAAUUUUUUUUUUAUGUUUGUUUUUUUGGGAAUCUGCAAGCUGAAAUGUUGGGAAAACAGAAAUCAAAUCAUAUUGCAUGGAAAAUCUGAAUCAUUAAUGGGACGUGUUCUGCUGUACAUAAACCAAGAAAGGACAUUGAAUAUUGUUCUACGAAUUGUUAAUGUGUAUUUCUACAAUCGCAAAUAUUUUUGUUAAUUAUGGUAUCAAUUUUUUCAUUUCGAGAAUAUAUUUACGAUUGAACGAUUGUUUA